GGCCUUAUGGUCUAGUAGUAUGAUUCCUCGUUUGGGUUUCCUGAUUCGAGGAGGUCCUGGGUUCAACUCCCAGUGAGGCCC
rnacentral:tRNA from 2 species